rnacentral:tRNA from 1 species
GCACGGGUCGCAUAGUGGUAUUGCGCGGGGCUGCAGACCUCGUUUUCCUGGGUUCGAUUCCCAGCCCGUGCU